AUGGCUUCAUCUCCUGCUGCUUCUCGUGGCCAUGGGCAGGUUCGCGGCAGCCGGUGGCAGCGGGAACCCACCGCCGGGUUCCAGAAGGUGCAGCCUGCCGACGGCGAUUUCCAGGUGCAGAGCCCGUACAACGUGCCGGAGAGCCAGCGGUUCCAAUACCGCAACGGUGUGCGGACGUUCUGGGUGCAUCGAAACGACAAACCCUUCAACACCGCCACGCACACCAACCCGCGCUCUGAAGUCAGGCUUCGGGGCCACGACUACUCGUCGGGGGUGUGGCAGUUCGAGGGCUACGGCUACGGCUACGUGCCUUCGGGGACCUCCGGCGUGUCGGUGAUGCAGAUCCAUAACGAGGAGGACGCCGCGCACUCAACGGUGUUGAUGUUGCACGUUUACGACGGCGUCCUCCGGUUCUACAGUGGGGCGGCCGUCGAGCCCAACAUCUACGACAGGUGGUUCCGCCUCAAUGUGACGCACGACGUCGGUGCAUCCACAGUGACCGUGUAUGUCGACGGCGAGCACAAGUUCGGCACCACCGUCACCCCUAGCGAGUCCUACUACUUCAAGUUUGGGGUCUAUAUGCAGCAUCAUGACCAAUCCAGCUGCAUGGAAUCACGAUGGACCAACGUCACGCUCUAUACUAAGCACUAG
rnacentral:rRNA from 1 species